UACGGAAGGGGCUAGCGUUGUUCGGAAUUACUGGGCGUAAAGGGCGCGUAGGCGGUGUGUCAAGUCAGGCGUGAAAGCCCCGGGCUCAACCUGGGAACAGCGCUUGAGACUGGCACGCUCGAGGUUCGGGAGAGGAUGGUGGAAUUCCCAGUGAUAGAGGUGAAAUUCGUAAGAUAUUGGGAAGAACACCGAUGGCGAAGGCCAGCCAUCUGGACCGACACUG
rnacentral:rRNA from 1 species